AGUGAACGCUGGCGGCAGGCCUAACACAUGCAAGUCGAACGGUAACACGGUAAAGCUUUCUUCUUAGCUGACGCGUGUCGGAGGGGUGUGAAAUGUCUAUCAGACUGUCCUAUGUCGGGGGGGAACUCCUGGAAACGGUAACUAUUAUCGCUCAUCCUCCCUAGAGGAAAAAGGGGGACAUUUUCGCCCCUUGCCAGCUGGUGUGCCCAGAUGGGAUUAGCUAGUAGGUGGGGUAACGGCUCACCUAGGCGACGAUCCCUAGCUGGUCUGAGAGGAUGACCAGCCACACUGGAACUGAGACACGGUCCAGACUCCUACGGGAGGCAGCAGUGGGGAAUAUUGGACAAUGGGCGCAAGCCUGAUCCAGCCAUGCCGCGUGUAUGAAGAAGGCCUUCGGGUUGUAAAGUACUUUCGGUGGGAAGGAAGAGAGGCAGGUUAAUACCUCUCCUCAUUGACGUUACCCGAAGAAGAAGCACCGGCUAACUCCGUG
rnacentral:rRNA from 1 species